CCAGACUCCUACGGGAGGCAGCAGUGGGGAAUAUUGCACAAUGGGGGAAACCCUGAUGCAGCAACGCCGCGUGAAGGAAGACGGUUUUCGGAUUGUAAACUUCUGUUCUUAGUGAAGAAGAAUGACGGUAGCUAAGGAGCAAGCCACGGCUAACUACGUGCCAGCAGCCGCGGUAAUACGUAGGGAGCGAGCGUUGUCCGGAUUUACUGGGUGUAAAGGGUGCGCAGGCGGCUCUGCAAGUCAGGCGUGAAAGCUAGGGGCUCAACCCCUAAAUUGCGCUUGAAACUGUGGAGCUUGAGUGAAGUAGAGGCAGGCGGAAUUCCCGGUGUAGCGGUGAAAUGCGUAGAGAUCGGGAGGAACACCAGUGGCGAAGGCGGCCUGCUGGGCUUUAACUGACGCUCAGGCACGAAAGCAUGGGUAGCAAACAGGAUUAGAUACCCUUGUA
rnacentral:rRNA from 1 species